AGUGAACGCUGGCGGUAGGCCUAACACAUGCAAGUCGAACGGCAGCACAGUAAGAGCUUGCUCUUACGGGUGGCGAGUGGCGGACGGGUGAGGAAUACAUCGGAAUCUACUUUUUCGUGGGGGAUAACGUAGGGAAACUUACGCUAAUACCGCAUACGACCUACGGGUGAAAGCAGGGGAUCUUCGGACCUUGCGCGAUUGAAUGAGCCGAUGUCGUAUUAGCUAGUUGGCGGGGUAAAGGCCCACCAAGGCGACGAUCCGUAGCUGGUCUGAGAGGAUGAUCAGCCACACUGGAACUGAGACACGGUCCAGACUCCUACGGGAGGCAGCAGUGGGCAAUAUUGGACAAUGGGCGCAAGCCUGAUCCAGCCAUACCGCGUGGGUGAAGAAGGCCUUCGGGUUGUAAAGCCCUUUUGUUGGGAAAGAAAAGCAGCAGGUUAAUACCCCGCUGUUCUGACGGUACCCAAAGAAUAAGCACCGGCUAACUUCGUG
rnacentral:rRNA from 1 species